rnacentral:rRNA from 1 species
UACAGGGGGGGCAAGCGUUGUUCGGAAUCACUGGGCGUAAAGGGCGCGUAGGUGGCGACCCAAGUCGAUGGUGAAAGCUCGCCGCUCAACGGCGAGUCGGCCACCGAUACUGGGUUGCUGGAGCACUGUAGAGGCAGAUGGAAUUCCCGGUGUAGCGGUGAAAUGCGUAGAGAUCGGGAGGAACACCAGAGGCGAAGGCGGCGACCUGGACAGGUACUGACACUCAACUACGAAAGCGUGGGGAGCAAACAGG